rnacentral:lncRNA from 1 species
GUUCUCGGUGGUGGAUGUGCCAGAGGAGGCUGGCUCCGGGCUUGGAGGGAGAGCCUCCCAGGUGAUGUGAGGGUCGUGGACGUGGCCGUGUACUUCUCCCGGGAGGAGUGGGGGUGUCUGUGGCCCGCACGGAGGGGCCUAAGCCGGCACGUGACACAGAAAACCUACGGCCACCUGGGCGCGCUCGGUGAGGCCCGGCAGCCCGGCCAGGACUCUAAUAUGUGGGAAGCGGGGACCGAUGCGCCCAGAGAUGGCGGGGUCGGAAGUGUGGAGCCCUGAGGAGGCGGCCUCAGCUGUCUUCUCGGUGCACGGCGAGUCCAGUAUUUGCCUUUCGGAGGAUUUUCAGGUCCCAGACCCCUUUUAUCUCUUGGGUGGACGGAGAAUCGAAUGCCUGAAGCCCGGAGGCCGAGGAUCCCGAUCUCUGCAGCUGUCAGCAGAGACGAGGGAAAGAAUCCAGGGACGGGAGUGAGAAGAAAGAAGGGCAGAAGAGGCCCAAGCGAAAAAGAGAUGGAGCAUGAAGGACUGUCUGUCAAGGAAAGGUUGCCAUCCAGUACACCGCCUGGCCCAAUCACAAAGCCAGAAUUCCAGAGUCCAUAGCAACACCAGAUCCCAGUGGUGUCUGCAACCAACAUCGAAGCUCAUGAAUAUGGAAGAUAGUUCCCCGUCCACCUUUCUUGAAAGCUGGGAAGCUCCCCUCGGCCUCCUCUAUUCCCUGCCGAUGGGCACUUCUUUCGAAACCCACCUGCGAGGCCAUUGCAUUUAAGGGCAAAUGAACGAUGAAGCCAGAGAAGCCAGGCCGGCGCCAUGUUUGAUAAGGUCAAUGGGUGGCGCCCUUAAGGGCAACCGAUGACAACUGAAGCCAGGAUGUCGCCAUAUUUUCUGAAGGUACCUUCCGGGUCCCUUAACCCGGGUGUCUAAAUCCAAGCUGCCGUGAAGUGAAUAAACACCGAGGGGGGGUCUGUUUGUCCCCAUCAGAAUCCUGAAUCCCAAACAGCCAGUCCCUGCUCCCUCAGUCCCUCGACCGCGUUCGGAAGCCAAGGCGGGGCCGGGCUCGGGAGCCCUUCCUGCGGACGACGAAAGCUGAGGCCGGGCGCGGGGACCAGGCGGCCGCU